UACAGAGGGUGCGAGCGUUGUCCGGAAUCACUGGGCGUAAAGGGCGCGUAGGUGGUGGCUUAAGCGUGCGGUGAAAGCUCGGGGCUCAACUCCGAGUCGGCCGUGCGAACUGGGCUCACUGGAGCAUAGUAGAGGCAGGUGGAAUUCCGGGUGUAGCGGUGGAAUGCGUAGAGAUCCGGAAGAACACCGGUGGCGAAGGCGGCUCUCUGGGCCUUACCUGGACGCUGAGGAGCGAAAGCGUGGGUAGCGAACAGG
rnacentral:rRNA from 1 species